CCCGAGAACCUUGAACCUUAGUGCAACACCACUGUUGAGGUUGAACACAAG
rnacentral:sRNA from 1 species